AAGCAAUACAAGUUAGAGGCCUGAGGAUAGCUAUCGAGACCUGAGCGCCCAGAUCCGUCCCGCCGCCGGGAGCCGGUGGACCUGAGCGCCCGAUCUGCUCCGCCGACGAGAGGAGGCUACACGCCGGUGGCGGCGGCGGGCGAGUCGCGGCCGGAGCGCCAGCUGGCGCGGUCGCGGCGGUGAUCAUGUGCUCGCCCGGCAUUGGGGAGGGCGUCUCGGCGCGUCAGGCGCCUCACGCUGGCUCCCGGCUGGUCACCGGGGCUGAAGGUGGGGGCUCACGUCGACGAGGUACUUUACAGAGGAACCUACUGGUGUCGUUUCUGGGCGCAACUUCAAAGGCAUGAGGAAGACGCCAAGGUUAUCAGGGAGGCCUGCAGGAAGCUUGAGACGACAGUGAUGCAGAUCUUCGCUUUUCACGGGUGGCAGUUUAGUAAUAGGAUCGCUCUGUGAGAGUUGUUUUUACUUUUGCUGUCCACCCAACUGCGUUUGGGGUUUGUAUCGCCGCUUGUGGCUCUUUGAGUUGGAUCUGUUGGUGUGGUGUUGUCAUGACAGGCCGUCAUCCUCGUGAUGUAGGCUGGGAACACUCUAUCCCAUUAUCUAAAAAAAUCAAUAGUAAUAUAUACAAAUGUCGACAAAGUUUCC